rnacentral:snRNA from 1 species
GUGCUCACUUCGGCAGCACAUAUACUAAAAUUGGAACAAUACAGAGAAGAUUAGCAUAGUCUCUGCACAUGGGUGAUACGCAAAUUCAUGAAGCAUUCCAUGAUGUU